rnacentral:rRNA from 1 species
UACAGAGGUCUCAAGCGUUGUUCGGAUUCAUUGGGCGUAAAGGGUGCGUAGGCGGCGCGGUAAGUCGGGUGUGAAAUCUCGGGGCUUAACUCCGAAACUGCAUUCGAUACUGCCGUGCUUGAGGACUGGAGAGGAGACUGGAAUUUACGGUGUAGCGGUGAAAUGCGUAGAUAUCGUAAGGAAGACCAGUGGCGAAGGCGGGAUCUCUGGGCCGAUACUGACGUGAGGAGCGAAAGCGUGGGGAGCGAACAGGAUUGAGAAACCCU